rnacentral:miRNA from 1 species
UGUCCAGUAGCACCUUAGAGACCGACUAAGUUUGUUCUGGGUAUAAGCUUUCAUGUGCAUGCACACUUCUUCAGAUACACACAUCAGAUGAAGAAGUGUGCAUGCACACAAAAGCUUAUACCCAGAACAAACUUAGUUGGUCUCUAAGGUGCUACUGGACA